GCCGUCUGAUAGCCUCGUGCCCGACUUCACCACCCGGGGGAAUCUGGUUCGACUCCAGAGCUGACCCGCAACCGUGACGGCCCACCAGGGCCAAAGCCGGAACACCCGCCGUGAAGCUGAUGACACA
rnacentral:ncRNA from 2 species